CACGUAGGGGGCAAGCGUUGUCCGGAUUUAUUGGGCGUAAAGAGCUCGUAGGCGGCUCAGUUAGUCGGGUGUGAAACCCCCGGGCUCAACCCGGGGACGCCACCCGAUACUGCUGUGGCUAGAGUCCGGUAGGGGAGCGUGGAAUUCCUGGUGUAGCGGUGAAAUGCGCAGAUAUCAGGAAGAACACCCGUGGCGAAGGCGGCUCUCUGGGACGGUACUGACGCUGAGACGCGAAAGCGUGGGGAGCGAACAGG
rnacentral:rRNA from 1 species